AUUAAGAUUUGGGGCUGGGGUAAGGUUUAAGGUUUUGGCGUUAGGGUUUAAAUCACUGUCCAAAACGUUUGUAGGAACUCUUCCAACCUUUUGGAGUUAGUAAGACCAAAAAAAAUGAAAAAUGAAAAAAAAAUAUUUGUGGUGUUCGGGCUUCCUGAAGAUAAUACACGGGUAUUAGGUUUUGUGGCUAGGGAAAGGUUUAAGGUUUUUGGCGUUAGGGUUAAAAUCACUGUCCAAAACCUUUGUAGGAACUCUUUUCCAA